GGUUCGAUUCUGGCUCAGAUUGAACGCUGGCAGGAUGCUACAUGAGUCAAACGGCGGCACGGACUUCGGUCUGGUGGCGAGUGGCGAACGUUGAAGUAAUGUAUCGGAACGCGUGCCUAGUAGCGGGGGAUAACUACGCGAAAGCGUAGCUAAUACCACAUACGCCCUUCGGGGAAAGCGGGGGACCUUCGGGCCUCAUACUAUUAGAGCGGCCGAUAUCGGAUUAGCUAGUUGGUGGGGUAACGGCUCACCAAGGCGACGAUCCGUAGCUGGUUUUGAGAGGACGACCAGCCACACUGGGACUGAGACACGGCCCCAGACUCCUACGGGAGGCAGCGGUAGGGGAAUUUUGGACAAUGGAAACCCUGAUCCAGCCAUCCCGCGUGUGCGAUGAAGGCCUUCGGGGUUGUAAAGCACUUUUGGCGGGAAAGAAAUGGCACGGGAUAAUACCCCGUGCAACUGACGGCUCACCUGCAAGAAUCAGCACCGGCUAACUACGUGCCAACAGCCGCGGUAAUACGUAAGUGCAAGCGUUAAUCGGAAUUACUGGGCGUAAAGCGUGCGCAGGCGGUUCGGAAAGAAGAUGUGAAAUCAGGAAAGCAACUUUGGAACUGCAUUUUUAACUACCGAACUGAGAGUGUGUCCAGAGGGAGGUGGAAUUCACACCCGAUGUAGCUUAGUGAAAUGCGUAAAUGUGGAGGAACACCGAUGGCGAGAGCAGCCUCCUGGGAUAACACUGACAUCAUGCACGAAAGCGUGGGGAGCAAACGGGAUUAGAUACCACAGUAGUGCGCCUAAACGAUGUCAACUAGCUGUUGGGGCCCUCGGGCCUUGUGCUUCAGCUAACGCGUGAAGUUGACCGCCUGGGAAAUUACAGUCGCAAGAUUAAAAACUCAAGGAAAUUGACGAGGACCCGCACAAAAACGGUGGAUGAUGUGGAUUAAUGCGAUGCAACGCGAAAAACCUUACCUGCCCUUGACAUGUCUGGAAUCCCGAAGAGAUUUGGGAGUGCUCGCAAGAGAACCGGAACACAGGUGCUGCAUAGCUGUCGUCAGCUCGUGUCGUUGAGAUGUUGGGUUAAGUCCACAACGAGCGCAGCCCGCAUCAUGAAUUCUUACGAAAGGGCACUCCUAAUGAGACUGCCGGUGACAAACCGGAGGAAGGUGAGGAUGACGUCAAGUCCUCAUGUGGCCCUUAUGGGUAGAACCACGUCAUACAAUGGUCGGGUUGGAGACGCCACAUUGCGAAGGGUGAUCGAAACCGAUCGCAGAUCUGAUGCAGUCUGCAACUCGACUGGGGCAACCACAUCAUAGCAUCAGCGUUCUCAGCAUGUCGCAAAUGAAUACAUUCUGGAGUUAACACUGCCGCCAUAUGAGUGGAUUACUGAAGCUAGUUAAGCCAAUAGCAGGAAGCGAUUUACCACAAUGGAUUGUUCCUUGGCCUGGGAUAAGUCGCAUGGCC
rnacentral:rRNA from 1 species